UCGAGGAUCUUCGGCAAUGGGCGCAAGCCUGACCGAGCGACGCCGCGUGCGCGAUGAAGGCCUUCGGGUUGUAAAGCGCUGUCGAGGGGGAGGAAAGCCCGCAAGGGUCUGACCUAUCCCUGGAGGAAGCACGGGCUAAGUUCGUGCCAGCAGCCGCGGUAAGACGAACCGUGCGAACGUUGUUCGGAAUCACUGGGCUUAAAGGGCGCGUAGGCGGGCCGUCCAGUCAGGGGUGAAAUCCUCCGGCUCAACCGGAGAACAGCUUUUGAUACUGACGGCCUCGAGGGGGGUAGGGGCAUGCGGAACUUCCGGUGGAGCGGUGAAAUGCGUAGAUAUCGGAAGGAACGCCGGUGGCGAAAGCGGCGUGCUGGACCCUUUCUGACGCUGAGGCGCGAAAGCCAGGGGAGCAAACGGGAUUAGAUACCCCCGUAGUCC
rnacentral:rRNA from 1 species